UGUCGUCAGCUCGUGUUGUGAAAUGUUGGGUUAAGUCCCGCAACGAGCGCAACCCUUAUCCUUUGUUGCCAGCGGUCCGGCCGGGAACUCAAAGGAGACUGCCAGUGAUAAACUGGAGGAAGGUGGGGAUGACGUCAAGUCAUCAUGGCCCUUACGACCAGGGCUACACACGUGCUACAAUGGCGCAUACAAAGAGAAGCGACCUCGCGAGAGCAAGCGGACCUCAUAAAGUGCGUCGUAGUCCGGAUUGGAGUCUGCAACUCGACUCCAUGAAGUCGGAAUCGCUAGUAAUCGUGGAUCAGAAUGCCACGGUGAAUACGUUCCCGGGCCUUGUACACACCGCCCGUCACACCAUGGGAGUGAGUUGCAAAAGAAGUAGGUA
rnacentral:rRNA from 1 species